rnacentral:rRNA from 1 species
GUACGGUAAUAACGUCAAAGAUGUGACAAUGGACAAUCCGCAGCGAAGUCCUCUGGUCUAAUCGACCGUGGAACGCGUUCAGAGACUAGAUGUUUGUGGGCUGCUAACGCGGCUUAAGGUAUAGUCCGUCCUGCUCCGAAAGGGGUUUGGGUUUAUAAACGUAGAUGUUCUGGGCCGCACGCGCGCUACACUGACAGAGCCAGCGAGUCUAUCACCUUGGCCGGAAGGUCCGGGUAAUCUUGUGAAACU